rnacentral:rRNA from 1 species
GACGAACGCUGGCGGCGUGCUUAACACAUGCAAGUCGAACGGAAAGGCCCUGCUUUUGUGGGGUGCUCGAGUGGCGAACGGGUGAGUAACACGUGAGUAACCUGCCCUUGACUUUGGGAUAACUUCAGGAAACUGGGGCUAAUAUCGGAUAGGAGCUCCUGCUGCAUGGUGGGGGUUGGAAAGUUUCGGCGGUUGGGGAUGGACUCGCGGCUUAUCAGCUUGUUGGUGGGGUAGUGGCUUACCAAGGCUUUGACGGGUAGCCGGCCUGGGAGGGUGACCGGCCACAUUGGGCCUGAGAGACGGCCCAGACGCCUACGGGAGGCAGCAGUGGGAAAUAUUGCACAAUGGGCGGAAGCCUGAUGCAGCAGCGCCGCGUGCGGGAUGACGGCCUUCGGGUUGUAAACCGCUUUCGCCUGUGACGAAGCGUGAGUGACGGUAAUGGGUAAAGAAGCACCGGCUAACUACGUG